rnacentral:rRNA from 1 species
GAGGAAACCCUUGGUAGGGGCAAGAGACAAAGGACUGCAAAGACCUUUGGUGAUGAUUUCUUCGUGUACCUCGUGGAUGAUACUCCAACUUCUAUUUCAGAAGCGUAUGCCUCUCCAGAAGCUGACUACUGGAAGGAUGCGGUCCGUAGCGAGAUGGAUUCCAUCAUGGCUAAUGGGACAUGGGAGAUCACCGACCGUCCCUAUGGUUGCAAACCACUGGGAUGUAAGUGGGUGUUCAAGAAAAAGCUUAGGCCCGAUGGUACGAUUGAAAAGUACAAGGCUAGACUUGUGGCCAAGGGCUAUGACCAGAAAGAAGAGGAAGAUUUCUUCGAUACUUAUUCACCUGUGGCUAGACUGACCACCAUUCGAGUAUUACUCUCGUUGGCGGCCUCACAUGGUCUUCUCGUCCACCAAAUGGAUGUCAAGACGGCUUUUCUGAAUGGAGAGCUAAAU